rnacentral:tRNA from 2 species
CUUUGAAGGCUUUUAGUUUAGAUUAACUUAAACCCCU